rnacentral:rRNA from 1 species
UCAAGCGCGAUAAAGGGCGUUUGUGGAUGCCUUUGGCAGCAAGAGGCGAUGAAGGACGUGAUACUCCUGGCGAUAAGCCAUGGGAGCUGAAGAAUAAGCAUUUGAUCCAUGGAUCUCCGAAUGGGGAAACCCACCUGAAAAUCGCAGCUAUUUGUCAUCUUCAGGAUUGUCAAUAGCCGGUGUACGCAGGGGACUUAUGCUGAAUUACAUAGGGUUUUAAGGGCAAACGCGGGGAACUAGAACAUCUAAACGUAGCCCGGAGGAAAGGAAAUGCAACAGAAUACUCCCCCAGUAUCGGGAGCCGAACGGGGACCAGCCCGAGCCGAACGAAUAGGACAGAAUGUGUUGGAAAAGCUACAGCCAGAGCGGGUGACAGCCCCGUAUGGGAAGUUCAAUCGGACGUAUUAAGUCAGGUGCGGGACACACGUGGAAAUCCUGUCCUGAAAGAUCGAGGGAACCAACCCUCGAAGGCCUAAGUAACUCCUUGCUGACGAUAGCUGAACCCAGUACCCGUGAGGGAGAAGGUGAAAAGCACGCAGGCGCACGGUGACGAGAGGGAGUGAAACAGUUUCUGAAACCGGAACGCCACAAGCAGUCGAGGGGCCCUUGAGCCCUGACGGCGUACCUUUUGUUAUAAUGGGUUCAACGACUUGGUCAUGUCUAGCAAGCUUAAGCACGUUAGGUGUAGCCCAACAAAGCGAGAUCUUAAUGGGCGACUUAGUUUAGACGGAUCAGACCCCGAAACCGAGUGAUCUAGGCCAUGAGCAGGAUGAAGGUACGGUAAACAACUUGUACUGGAGUUCGAACCCACACCUGUUGAAAAGUCGGAUGACCUUGUGCCUAGGGGUGAAAGGCCAAUCAAAACUCGGAGAUAGCUGGUUUCUCACGCGAAAAGCUAUUUAGGUAGCAGCCUUCGGACGUAUCCUCUCGGGGUAGAGCACUGCAAUGGAUGAUGGGGCCCACAGCCUACUAGGAGUUCUAAGCAAAACUCCGAAUACCGAGAAGGACUAUCCGGGGAGACAACACGGCCGGGUGCUAACGUCCGUCGUGGAGAAGGGAAACAACCCUGACCCAACAAGCUUAAGGCCCCCAAUUCGUGGCUGAAGUGGGAAAAGCAUGUGAGACUUCCAAAACAACCAGGAGGUUGGCUUUAGAAGCAGCCCAUCCUUUAAAGAUAGCGUAACAGCUCACUGGUCUACAUCAAGAAGGUCUUGCGGCGAAAGAUGUAACGGGGCUCAAGGCCACGAGCGCGAAGCUUUUGGGUGCACCUUCGGGUGCGCGGUAAGCGGAGCGUUCUGUGAUAGAGAACGCUAGCCUCUUUUUGCUAUCCUCGGAAGCAACGGAGGCGAUGUUCCUGAACUGUGAAGCCGGGCUGUAAAGGCAUCCGGUGGAGUGAUCAGAAAGUGAGAAUGUUGACCAUGAGUAGCCGACAAACAGCGGUGAGGAAGAGACCAUGUCGCCGAAAGUCCAAGGGUUCCUAGCUUAAAAGCCUAAUCUGAAGCAGGGUAAGCGGCCCUAAAGGCGAGGCCGAAAGGCGUAGUCGAUGGGAACAAGGUUUAAAAAUAUUUCCUGGCCCCCAGGAGGAUGGUGGACGGAUCACAAGAGGCUAGUGAGUCUUAUCUCGGAUUGAUCUUGCUGGUGAUGGGUCCUGGAAAAUAGCCCCUCCAUGAAGACCGUACCCUAAAACCGAACACAGGAUGGAACUGGUAGAGAAUACCAGGCGCUUGAGAGAACCACAUUUAAAGGAACUCGGCAAAUACCUACCGUAAGUUCGCGAGAAGGAGGCCCGUUCGAGGCAACUAAUGGGCGGGGGGCACAAACCAGGGGGUGGCGACUGUUUACUAAAACACAGGGCCUCUGCGAAGUCCGUAAAGGCGACGUAUAGGGUCUGACGCCCUGCCGGUGCCGGAAGGUUAAAAGGAGAUGUGCAAGACAAUUGAAUUGAAGCCCCCGGUAAACCGGGCGGCCGUAACUAUAACGGAUCCUAAGGUAGCCGAAAUUCCUUGGUCGGGUAAGUUUUCCGACCUGCACGAAAUGGGCCGUAAACGACUUCCCCGCUGUGCUCCAAAUGUGGGAACUUCAAGCGAAAUUGAAUUGUUCCUGUGAAGAAUGGCAGACGUCUCCCGCGGUUAGACGGAAAGACCUCCAUGCACCUUUUACUACAGCUUUCGCACUGGCAUCAAGGAUUGCGAUGUGCAGGAUAGGCGGUAGCGCUUUGAAAGCGGGGAACGCCAGUUUCCGUGGAGCCAUCCUUGGGGGGGGGGGGGAGAAUACCGCCCUUUCCCGCACAUCCUUGAUGUCCUAACCGCGGUCCGUCAUCCGGAUCCCGGGACCCUGCGUGGCGGGUAGUUUGACUGGGGCGGUCGCCUUCCAAAACAGUAAGCGAGGCGCCGCGAGAGGUUGGCUCAGAGCGGUUCGGAAAUCGCUUCGUUGAGUUUGUUUGCAAAUUGGCCAAAAAAAAAGAAACCCCCCCCCCCAGCCCUGACUGCAAGACUGACUAAGUCGAAGGCAGGAGACGAAAAAGUGGCCAUUAGUGAUCUCCGGUGGUCGCGCGAGUUGGAAGGGCCAUCGCUCAACGGAUAAAAGGUACGCCUGGGGUAACAGGCUGAUGAUGCCCCAAGUAGUCCAUAUCGAACGGCAUCGUUUGGCAAGCCGUCGAUGUCCGGCUUCAUCUUCAUCCUGGGGCUGGAGCAAGGUCCCAAAGGGUAAUGGCUGUUCGCCAAUUUAAAGAGGUACGUGAGGGCUGGGUUUUAGAAACGUCGUGAGAACCAGUUUCGGUCCUAUCUGCCGUGGGUGUAGGAUACUUUUGAUGAGGAGUUGCCCCUUAGUACGGAGAGGAACAGGGGGGUGAAACGUUCCACUGGUGGACCGUUGUCGUGCAACUGGCAAGUGCUGGGUAGCCUAUGAACGGACAGGAUACACCGCUGAAAGGCAUCUAAGCGGAAGGCCCCCUCAAAACAAGGUAUCCCUUGAGAGCCGUGGGAAGACCACCACGUUGAUAGGCCGGUGAUGUAAGCGGCAGCAAUGCGUUUCAGCUUGACGCGUACUAAUGGCUCGAUUGGCUUGAUUUG